rnacentral:misc_RNA from 1 species
UUGAAAUAAAACUUGGUUGGGUUGCUGCUGGCUCUCAGGAGCAUGUGCACACUCGGUCCAUUUUUUUAAACCACCUGUGCACACAUUGUAGGGCCUGAAUGAACUUUGUCGAGGGUAACUCGGUUUGAGAACUUGCCUUUGGCUGUUCUUGUGUUCUCAGGUUCUAUGUUUUAAAUCAUAUACUCUAUAACAAGUAAUAGAAUGUCAAUUAUGGGCCUUCUGUGCCUUUAAAACCUAAUACAACUUUCAACAACGGAUCUCUUGGCUCUCGCAUC